rnacentral:lncRNA from 1 species
UUGUUUGCAAAAUUUGCCUUUUGCUUAUGUCUAAGUAGGGAGCAUUAUUGAAUAAAUUUGGUUUUGGAAUCUAAAGUUGGGGAGAGUAAAGUAAAAAGAGUUGAUUAUAAACUUGGAGAAGUGAGUUUUUUAUGAAAGGGUGAAAAUAUGAAAAGAAACAAGAAAAAGAAAAGAAAGAAAAAACAAAGAAAAGGCUCAUGGUUGUGUGGAUGUAAAAAGAAAAAGAAAAGAAAAAGACGGGGAUCAAAGAAAUG